rnacentral:siRNA from 1 species
ACCGAAAUGGACCUGGUUGAAGCG